UACGGAGGGAGCUAGCGUUGUUCGGAAUUACUGGGCGUAAAGGGCGCGUAGGCGGCCUACUAAGUCAGACGUGAAAUCCCCCGGCUUAACCUGGGAACUGCGUCUGAUACUGGAAGGCUUGAGGAUGGGAGAGGGAUGUAGAAUUCCAGGUGUAGCGGUGAAAUGCGUAGAUAUCUGGAGGAAUACCGGUGGCGAAGGCGGCAUCCUGGACCGAUACUGACGCUGAGGAGCGAAAGGCGUGGGAGCGAACAGG
rnacentral:rRNA from 1 species